GAUCAUCAAACAAAGACCAACCACAAUCAACAACUUCACCAGAAUCACACCGAUUAUUAUUAUUACUCGAUGAAGAAGGAAUCAGCUCAGCUUUAGGGAAAACCCGACCCGAAUAACUCUCAUCCGGACCAAUUUCACGUUCAAGCCCAAAAUCAGAAUUCUCCAGAAGAACACCAGCUUGAUGAAGACCCGGACAGCAUACAGCUAGCUUGUAAAGUGAAGACCACCCACCUGGAGGACACGAAGACGUCGAACUUACUAGAUCGGAAACAACCGAAGGAAUAGUUGC
rnacentral:misc_RNA from 1 species